rnacentral:rRNA from 1 species
GACAGAGGGUGCAAACGUUUGUUCGGAAUUACUGGGCGUAAAGCGCGUGUAGGCGGCCCUGCAAGUCGGAUGUGAAAUCCCACGGCUCAACCGUGGAAGUGCAUUCGAAACUGCAGGGCUAGAGUCCUGGAGAGGAAGGUGGAAUGCUUGGUGUAGAGGUGAAAUUCGUAGAUAUCAAGCGGAACACCGGUGGCGAAGGCGGCCUUCUGGACAGUGACUGACGCUGAGACGCGAAAGCGUGGGGAGCAAACAGGG